GACGAACGCUGGCGGCGUGCCUAAUACAUGCAAGUCGAGCGAACCRAYAAGAAGCUUGCUUUUUGUYGGUUAGCGGCGGACGGGUGAGUAACACGUGGGUAACCUGCCUGUAAGAYCGGGAUAACUCCGGGAAACCGGUGCUAAUACCGGAUAGAUUAUCUUUCCGCCUGGAGAGAUAAGGAAAGAUGGCUWUUGCCAUCACUUACAGAUGGGCCCGCGGCGCAUUAGCUAGUUGGUGAGGUAACGGCUCACCAAGGCGACGAUGCGUAGCCGACCUGAGAGGGUGAUCGGCCACACUGGGACUGAGACACGGCCCAGACUCCUACGGGAGGCAGCAGUAGGGAAUCUUCCGCAAUGGACGAAAGUCUGACGGAGCAACGCCGCGUGAGCGAAGAAGGUCUUCGGAUCGUAAAGCUCUGUUGUUAGGGAAGAACAAGUAUCGGAGGAAAUGCCGGUACCUUGACGGUACCUGACGAGAAAGCCACGGCUAACUACGUGC
rnacentral:rRNA from 1 species